GAAGGCGCUCCCCUGCUAAGGGAGUAUGGGGUUAGUAGCUCCAUCGAGGGUUCGAAUCCCUCCCUCUCCGCCA
rnacentral:tRNA from 1 species